rnacentral:tRNA from 1 species
GGGAGCAUAGCUCAGUGGUAGAGCCUGUGCUUAGCAUGCACGGGGUCAUGGAUUCCAUCCCCACUACCUCCA